rnacentral:misc_RNA from 1 species
UACUACAGCGGCCAGCGCGCGG